GUAGAAAGUCCUUUAUGGAGCCAGGCUCAGUGAAACCAAUGCAUAGAUGUCUGACUUGAGGGUGUUCGCGUCAUGUUUUCCUUCUUAGUAAUAUUCAGACUGGAGAUCACUAAUUGAAAGGGAGAUUCUACUUUCCUAUAAUGGUGUGUGUUUUCAGUUUUAUAACAUUCUACUUCGUGUGAAGCUGGUAAGUCAGUAUUUUUUAGGGAAAUUCCAAACUGUCACUCCAGAACCAGGUGCUCUAUACAUUGUCAUCAAAGAAGGCCAUUAUAACUGCAGUCCAGUUGGUAUGAAUCAACCCAUAGAACUUAAUUUUUUCCUUAGUAUUUAUUGUAAGAUAUAUAAAUUUGUGUGGAAAACAAGGAAAAUAAAAUAAGUUUAGACAUUCAUAAUCUCUCCAGCCAGCAUAGCUACUGAUAUUUUGAGGUGUUUUCUUCCGAUCGUUGCUUUUGUGAAAUGUUCAGGUCAAGCUGUCCAUCGGCUGUGUAUCGUGCUUCAUUGACUCAAUCCUAAGCUGGUUGUCAUCACAAGCCAUUCGGAAGCAUGCCAUGAUGGCCUGGAUUAGCUCUCUGUUGCUAAUGACAGAAACCCUAGUCAAAGUAGUUUGAGCAAAAAGUUUGGUGAUGAAAAUAUUUCGUGGAGCUCAGUCUUCAUCUCCUGGCUUCUCUUCCCGUUGUGUCGGCUUCAGCCGCAGCCAGCAGCCUUAGAGCAAAGAGGAGGCACCCUUCCCCGCCCGGAGAGCCCGUCCUGAAUGAUCGCUGUGCCUGGAAAUGGGGUGUCCUCAUUGGCUGUGCCUGGGUCCCGUGUUCUUCCCUGCAGUGUGGGGUUCAGCUCACAGAGUCCCAGCAGUGAAAUUCCCAAGCCGAAAGCUGCUGAUACAUGCUCUGAACUGCUCCCGACAAUUCACAUCAGUGAGUGUUCCCGCACGCCGUGCCCGUAAUGCUCACCCAGUGCUCGGACUUGGAGGGUGGAAAUGGUACUGUGUCGUUUCCAUUGGCAGCUCUUAGCUUCCUAUUAGCAUUGAGCACUAAAGGCUCAGUAAAUGCAAAUUGCUUUUCUUUCCUUGCCUUCAAAUGUCAGAUGAUGACCCACGGGUUGAGUUUUCUCAAAAAUAAAUGUUAUGAUUGUCCUGGC